UCCCCCGUGGUCUGCUGGCAUGGCCCACCUGACUUUGAAUCAGGUUGUUCGUAGGUUCGAUUCCUGCCGGGGGAGC
rnacentral:tRNA from 5 species